AUGAACGCUAGCUACAGGCUUAACACAUGCAAGUCGAGGGGCAGCAUGGUCUUAGCUUGCUAAGGCCGAUGGCGACCGGCGCACGGGUGAGUAACACGUAUCCAACCUGCCGUCUACUCUUGGACAGCCUUCUGAAAGGAAGAUUAAUACAAGAUGGCAUCAUGAGUCCACAUGUUCACAUGAUUAAAGGUAUUCCGGUAGACGAUGGGGAUGCGUUCCAUUAGAUAGUAGGCGGGGUAACGGCCCACCUAGUCUUCGAUGGAUAGGGGUUCUGAGAGGAAGGUCCCCCACAUUGGAACUGAGACACGGUCCAAACUCCUACGGGAGGCAGCAGUGAGGAAUAUUGGUCAAUGGGCGAGAGCCUGAACCAGCCAAGUAGCGUGAAGGAUGACUGCCCUAUGGGUUGUAAACUUCUUUUAUAAAGGAAUAAAGUCGGGUAUGGAUACCCGUUUGCAUGUACUUUAUGAAUAAGGAUCGGCUAACUCCGUGCCAGCAGCCGCGGUAAUACGGAGGAUCCGAGCGUUAUCCGGAUUUAUUGGGUUUAAAGGGAGCGUAGAUGGAUGUUUAAGUCAGUUGUGAAAGUUUGCGGCUCAACCGUAAAAUUGCAGUUGAUACUGGAUAUCUUGAGUGCAGUUGAGGCAGGCGGAAUUCGUGGUGUAGCGGUGAAAUGCUUAGAUAUCACGAAGAACUCCGAUUGCGAAGGCAGCCUGCUAAGCUGCAACUGACAUUGAGGCUCGAAAGUGUGGGUAUCAAACAGGAUUAGAUACCCUGGUAGUCCACACGGUAAACGAUGAAUACUCGCUGUUUGCGAUAUACAGCAAGCGGCCAAGCGAAAGCGUUAAGUAUUCCACCUGGGGAGUACGCCGGCAACGGUGAAACUCAAAGGAAUUGACGGGGGCCCGCACAAGCGGGGGAACAUGUGGUUUAAUUCGAUGAUACGCGAGGAACCUUACCCGGGCUUAAAUUGCAGAUGAAUUACGGUGAAAGCCGUAAGCCGCAAGGCAUCUGUGAAGGUGCUGCAUGGUUGUCGUCAGCUCGUGCCGUGAGGUGUCGGCUUAAGUGCCAUAACGAGCGCAACCCUUGUUGUCAGUUACUAACAGGUUCCGCUGAGGACUCUGACAAGACUGCCAUCGUAAGAUGUGAGGAAGGUGGGGAUGACGUCAAAUCAGCACGGCCCUUACGUCCGGGGCUACACACGUGUUACAAUGGGGGGUACAGAGGGCCGCUACCACGCGAGUGGAUGCCAAUCCCAAAAACCUCUCUCAGUUCGGACUGGAGUCUGCAACCCGACUCCACGAAGCUGGAUUCGCUAGUAAUCGCGCAUCAGCCACGGCGCGGUGAAUACGUUCCCGGGCCUUGUACACACCGCCCGUCAAGCCAUGGGAGCCGGGGGUACCUGAAGUGCGUAACCGCGAGGAGCGCCCUAGGGUAAAACUGGUGACUGGGGCU
rnacentral:rRNA from 1 species